rnacentral:rRNA from 1 species
GAUGAACGCUGGCGGCGUGCUUAACACAUGCAAGUCGAACGGAAAGGCCCAAGCUUGCUUGGGUACUCGAGUGGCGAACGGGUGAGUAACACGUGGGUGAUCUGCCCUGCACUUCGGGAUAAGCCUGGGAAACUGGGUCUAAUACCGGAUAGGACGAUGGUUUGGAUGCCAUUGUGGUAAGUUUUUUCGGUGUGGGAUGAGCUCGCGGCCUAUCAGCUUGUUGGUGGGGUAAUGGCCUACCAAGGCGUCGACGGGUAGCCGGCCUGAGAGGGUGUACGGCCACAUUGGGACUGAGAGACGGCCCAGACUCCUACGGGAGGCAGCAGGGGGGAAUAUUGCACAAUGGGCGCAAGCCUGAUGCAGCGACGCCGCGUGGGGGAUGACGGCCUUCGGGUUGUAAACUCCUUUCGCUAGGGACGAAGCGUUUUUGUGACGGUACCUGGAGAAGAAGCACCGGCUAACUACGUG